GUUUUGUGUUUGUUUUUUUUGAGCCCAAAGGUGUUACCAAAACAUUUUUAUUUUACUAUGCCUUGGGCACAGUUUUGAUCCUUUUAUGCCAGGUUAUUCACUAAAAGUAUGAAUUGCUGGGAAUUCAAUUCGAAUUACACAUUUAAGCCAAAAUUGCGGGAAAAAUCGAAUAAACCUGGUUAUAUAAAUGGACCUCAAAUGUAUUUUCCUCCUACAAGAUACAAAUCAAAAUGCCUGUUUCUUCUUAAAUGGCACACUC